UUGACAAUUUUGACCUCAAAUCAGGCAAGACUACCCGCUGAACUUAAGCAUAUCAAUAAGCGGAGGA
rnacentral:rRNA from 1 species